GGGUCUGGGCGCGAGCCUGCCUGGAGCCGCCGUCGGUGCAGAUCUUGGUGGUAGUAGCAAAUAGUCCAGCGAGGCCCUGGAGGACUGACAUGGAGAAGGGUUUCGUGUGAACAGCCGUUGCACACGAGUCAGUCGAUCCUAAGCCCUAGGAGAAAUCCUAUGUCAAUGACGGCGUACGAUACUCUAGUGUCCCGCGUUCUCGCAACUCUCUGCCAAUAGAGAGGAGAGUGAGAGAGGAGAGAGACACACGCCCGUCGGGCGAAAGGGAAUCCGGUUCCUAUUCCGGAACCCGGCAGCGGAACCGCAUACAAUUCGGGCCCUCGUAAGAGUGUUCGUCGGGGUAACCCAAAAUGACCUGGAGACGCCGUCGGGAGAUCCGGGAAGAGUUUUCUUUUCUGUAUAAGCGUUCGAGUUCCCUGGAAACCUCUAGCAGGGAGAUAGGGUUUGGAACGCGAAGAGCACCGCAGUUGCGGCGGUGGCCGGAUCUUCCCCUCGGACCUUGAAAAUCCAGGAGAGGGCCACGUGGAGGUGUCGCGCCGGCUCGUACCUAUAUCCACAGCAGGUCUCCAAGGUAAAGAGCCUCUAGUCGAUAGACUAAUGUAGGUAAGGGAAGUCGGCA
rnacentral:ncRNA from 1 species